CUCGACUCCAUGAAGCUGGAUUCGCUAGUAAUCGCGCAUCAGCCAUGGCGCGGUGAAUACGUUCCCGGGCCUUGUACACACCGCCCGUCAAGCCAUGGGAGUCGGGAGUGCCUGAAGUUCGUGACCGUCACAGGAGCGACCUAAGGCAAGACCGAUGACUGGGGCUAAGUCGUAACAAGGUAUC
rnacentral:rRNA from 1 species